CCCUCCCAACACACAUACCGGACAUUGAACCCAGAACCUCCUGCUUGCUGGACAGAUGUGCCACCCCUGAGCUACAUCUCAAUCCUCUUGAUGGUUUUUAGGGGAGUGAGGUGUGAGGAGAAGCAGGGGUGGAGGAAAAGCCUAAUCAUAAAAGAUGAGGGCACUUAAGGAACCAGGGAGUUGCAAGCUGAAAGCAACCAGAGGAGCUCAGAGGUGUUGCUCCUGGAUGCAGCUCCUGGGCUCUGAGCUGACAAAGGGUGAGGAUGCUGAAUUCGGAUAGCAGCGAGCUCACAAGGGCAGCAGGCUUUGCAACACCUCGCUGGAUGUCACCAGAUGUCACCAGAUGUCACCAGACAGAUGCACAAGGCUGGGCAUGGCACAGGGCAGUGCCUGUCAUCAAGGCAGAGCAGAGUGGAGAAGCUCCUCUCCCACACUGCCCGGCAUGCUGCUGGUCUCACUAUGUUGUCCAGGCUGGUCUUCAGGUUCUGGACUCAAGCCAUCCUCCUGCCUCAGGCCUUCAAGUGGCUGGGACUAUAGAUAUGGCACCGCUGCUUCUGACUCCCAAGGAAUUUCUUCAUCAGCAAUAAAGAAAAGAAGAUUCGAGAUGUAAGAAAAUAAUUAUUAUAAAUAUGGAUGAACAAACAUGUCUGAAAGUGCAUAUGAGACGCCCUGGAGUUACACAGGCUCAGAAUCUGGCCUUGGCUGUACAGAACCUCAAAUUCUAAUGCUAGGUCAAAAAAAAAAAAAAGUAUAAACUGUGAAUAUUCUGCAUAGGCUCCCACCUCAUUGAUAUGUCUGUCUCAAAACUGUUUAUGGUUAACAUUAAUUAAACUACAGUAUCUAUACAUUUGAAAUGGACUGGUAAUCAAACAUAGAUGAAAUCAUGUUAUAAAGAGACAAAAUGAGAGUAUUAGACAUAAAUAAAACUUAAAUGAAAGCAUGGGCUUGGCAUUUAGCUCAGUGGUUUUGCCACCUGCCUUGCAAGUGCAAGGUCCCGAGUUCGAUCCCCAGUACCAAAAAAAAUGUUAAAUGAAAACAGAUUCAUACAAGGGAAGGAACUUUUCAUCUAACUUGAUUUUGUCUCUG
rnacentral:lncRNA from 1 species